UACGAAGGGUGCAAGCGUUAAUCGGAAUUACUGGGCGUAAAGCGUGCGUAGGUGGUUUGUUAAGUCUGCCGUGAAAGCCCUGGGCUCAACCUGGGAAUGGCGGUGGAUACUGACAAGCUAGAGUGCGGUAGAGGAGGGUGGAAUUCCCGGUGUAGCGGUGAAAUGCGUAGAGAUCGGGAGGAACAUCAGUGGCGAAGGCGGCCCUCUGGACCAGCACUGACGCUGAGGCACGAAAGCGUGGGGAGCAAACAGG
rnacentral:rRNA from 1 species